GAUGAACGCUGGCGGCGUGCCUAAUACAUGCAAGUCGAGCGAACAGACGAGGAGCUUGCUCCUCUGACGUUAGCGGCGGACGGGUGAGUAACACGUGGAUAACCUACCUAUAAGACUGGGAUAACUUCGGGAAACCGGAGCUAAUACCGGAUAAUAUAUUGAACCGCAUGGUUCAAUAGUGAAAGACGGUUUUGCUGUCACUUAUAGAUGGAUCCGCGCCGCAUUAGCUAGUUGGUAAGGUAACGGCUUACCAAGGCAACGAUGCGUAGCCGACCUGAGAGGGUGAUCGGCCACACUGGAACUGAGACACGGUCCAGACUCCUACGGGAGGCAGCAGUAGGGAAUCUUCCGCAAUGGGCGAAAGCCUGACGGAGCAACGCCGCGUGAGUGAUGAAGGUCUUCGGGUCGUAAAACUCUGUUAUUAGGGAAGAACAAAUGUGUAAGUAACUAUGCACGUCUUGACGGUACCUAAUCAGAAAGCCACGGCUAACUACGUGCCAGCAGCCGCCGCGG
rnacentral:rRNA from 1 species